UGAUAUGAGCCCUGGGCUCAUCAUAAAAAUAACUAUUUGAAUUCCUCUUUGACGGGCCAGUACCCUGUUACUGGCCGUUUUUUU
rfam:Mangrovibacter sp. MFB070 Contig-025, whole genome shotgun sequence.